rnacentral:rRNA from 1 species
GACGAACGCUGGCGGCGUGCCUAAUACAUGCAAGUUGAGCGCUGAAGGUUGGUACUUGUACCAACUGGAUGAGCAGCGAACGGGUGAGUAACGCGUGGGGAAUCUGCCUUUGAGCGGGGGGCAACAUUUGGAAACGAAUGCUAAUACCGCAUAAAAACUUUAAACACAAGUUUUAAGUUUGAAAGAUGCAAUUGCAUCACUCAAAGAUGAUCCCGCGUUGUAUUAGCUAGUUGGUGAGGUAAAGGCUCACCAAGGCGAUGAUACAUAGCCGACCUGAGAGGGUGAUCGGCCACAUUGGGACUGAGACACGGCCCAAACUCCUACGGGAGGCAGCAGUAGGGAAUCUUCGGCAAUGGACGAAAGUCUGACCGAGCAACGCCGCGGGAGUGAAGAAGGUUUUCGGAUCGUAAAACUCUGUUGGUAGAGAAGAACGUUGGUGAGAGUGGAAAGCUCAUCAAGUGACGGUAACUACCCAGAAAGGGACGGCUAACUACGUG